rnacentral:rRNA from 1 species
UACGGAGGGAGCUAGCGUUGUUCGGAAUUACUGGGCGUAAAGCGCACGUAGGCGGCUUUGUAAGUUAGAGGUGAAAGCCCGGAGCUCAACUCCGGAAUUGCCUUUAAGACUGCAUCGCUUGAAUCCAGGAGAGGUGAGUGGAAUUCCGAGUGUAGAGGUGAAAUUCGUAGAUAUUCGGAGGAACACCAGUGGCGAAGGCGGCUCACUGGUCCGGUACUGACGCUGAGGUGCGAAAGCGUGGGGAGCAAACAGG